GUAGGGAAUAUUGCACAAUGGGCGAAAGCCUGAUGCAGCAACGCCGCGUGUGCGAAGAAGGCCUUCGGGUCGUAAAGCACUUUUCGGGGAGACGAGGAAGGACGGUACCCCCGGAAUAAGGAUCGGCUAACUACGUGCCAGCAGCCGCGGUAACACGUAGGAUCCGAGCGUUAUCCGAAUUCACUGGGCGUAAAGCGCGUGUAGGCGGUUGGAUAAGUUGGAUGUAAAAUCUCCUGGCUCAACUGGGAGAGGCCGUUCAAAACUAUCCGACUAGAGGACGGUAGAGGGAGGUGGAAUUCCCGGUGUAGUGGUGAAAUGCGUAGAUAUCGGGAGGAACACCAGAGGCGAAGGCGGCCUCCUGGGCCGUACCUGACGCUCAGACGCGAAAGCCAGGGGAGCGAACGGGAUUAGAAACCCCAGUAGUCC
rnacentral:rRNA from 1 species